rnacentral:rRNA from 1 species
UACGUAGGGUGCGAGCGUUGUCCGGAAUUAUUGGGCGUAAAGAGCUCGUAGGCGGUGUGUCACGUCGGCCGUGAAAACCUGCAGCUUAACUGUGGGCGUGCGGUCGAUACGGGCAUCACUGGAGUUCGGCAGGGGAGACUGGAAUUCCUGGUGUAGCGGUGAAAUGCGCAGAUAUCUGGAGGAAUACCGGUGGCGAAGGCGGCAUCCUGGACCGGCAUUGACGCUGAGGAGCGAAAGCCAGGGGAGCAAACGGG